CCUCCAUUGGACGAACCAUGCUGAGGGAUCCCUCUGGGAGCCAACCAAAGGCGCGAAUCUGGAGCCGAAGAGGCAGGAUCGCCAAGCGGACCCGUUUUGGAGGUCACAGCUCCUCUGGGCGCGGCUUAGUGGCGGAGCUUGCCGUGAGGGGAGGGCCUUCCACUUGUCGCCAGCGUGAACUCUGGUGCCCCGUGAGUGUUCGGAAUGGACCCCCAAAUCUGCCCCCGCCAGGUCGCACUCGACUCUGUUUCGACGACUUUUUUGGUAUCACUUUCUCUUCCUUUUUGCCUUGGGGUCCCUUUGGUCCCUCCCUUUCUCUUCGCUCUCAGAAAUCCUAGUUUCUCAGAUGCUUAGCUCAGAGGAGAAAAUCGUGUGCGGAAUUAAGUCCUUCCUUCUGUUAGGCAGUUGAAUGGGAGGGACCAAAAAUCACUUGGUGUCCUGACAAGAUUUGUUACAGUUGCUAAGAUCGUCAGCUCUAAUGCUUUGAGGGAGAUAACUUCCUGCAAACCCAGAACUUUCGGAUUUCUUCCGAGCUCGAAGCUUCUUCACUUACCACACCAGAGGAAACCUUGCACGUGUGCAUUCAACAUGUCCAAGCUUAUGUCCACAUCCUUCACUUCCUGCAAAUAGUGAUGUCUAAUCAGCACAGCUCUGUCUGCCCCCUGAUCUGGGCACACAUGGUCCCCUGAUCUCAUGGACUCCUUACACUUUGCAAUUGGAGGAAGAUCCUUCCAGAUCACGCCACAUGAAGAUGGAGGCAGAUGUUGGACUGAUGCUUCUACAAGCCAGAGAACUCCAAGGUGUCCAGCAUAUCAUCAGAAGCUAUGGGAGAGGCAUGAAACAGAUCUUUCCCUCACUGCCCUCAGAAGGAACAGGUGGUGCUGACACCUUGAUCUCGGAUUCUAGCCUCCAAAACUUUAACAAUUUACACUAGUUCUAAAACUCAUCUCAACCUGGAACUCACAGGGUAUGCCUUUGUGGAACAUGAGGAAAUUCUGCCAUUUGACUCCACUGCAUGUAUAAGAAAAAGACCUUCAACUUUUCAAACAGACCUUAUAUACAUACUGGAUGAGUGAAAACAUGUACUGAGAACUACCUACCAUCCUUCAGACACUCUUCUUGGCAUUGUGGAUAUACAAAGCUAAUCUUGACCCUCGGCAGUCAAGCUGGAAUUGAGAAGCUUGAUGUGGAGAUAGCCUAAAAGUGAAAGAAGGAGAAGUAUUCAAGGAGGAAAGAAGUAGAGGAAGAAACAACACAUCAUUUCAAUCUGCAAAAGGUAUAGGAAAGACGAAGAAUACAAGCCCUAGAAACUGGUUUGAACUCCAGCAGUGAUUUCAACAAAAGAACAAAGUGACCAAAAUAACAAAAGACCAGUGAUGUACUUUCAUCUUCUACGGAACUAACAGAACCUGGAGAACGAAAACCUUCACAUCAAAUUGGAUUCAUGAGCUGUGGGCAACGAUGACAGCACAAGAAAUAAUUUCAACUAACUUGUAAGAAAUCAAGUCAAAUUUAAUUUCUACAAUUAAAUGGACUUUUUUUUCUUCUUAAACACUCAACUACUUAACUGAAUGGUCAGCUAACCACUGAAUUAACUAUAGAAAAAUAUUUUUUUAAUUAACCAAGUUGUUAAUUGAUUCCCACAUGUCCCAUCAGCAAGUCCCCUUUCUGGCCCACAGCAGCCUUUUCAACACACUAAUA